rnacentral:rRNA from 1 species
CNCNUGAGUGAAUAAUUNNACGGCCGCGGUAUCCUAACCGUGCAANGGUAGCAUAAUCAUUUGUCUACUAAUUAUAGACCAGUAUGAAAGGCAAAAUGAAGGUCUAACUGUCUCUUAUAAUAAAUCGAUUAAACUGAUCUCCCAGUAAAAAAGCUGGAAUUCCAACAUAAGACCAGAAGACCCUGUGAAGCUUAAACUACACUAUUAAACCCUAUAAUAGCUACUUUCGGUUGGGGCGACCUUGGAAAAAAAAAGAACUUCCAAACUAUGACCAUACUACCCUAGGCCCACAAGCCACAAACGACCCAGCAUAGCUGAUAUUGAACCAAGUUACUCCAGGGAUAACAGCGCAAUCCUCUUCAAGAGCCCAUAUCAAAAAGAGGGUUUACGACCUCGAUGUUGGAUCAGGACAUCCUGAUGGUGCAGCCGCUAUCAAGGGUUCGUUUGUUCAACGAUUAAUGUCCCACGUGAUCUG